UCUUAUCUGUUGAUUUCAUUGGUUAAUAAUAAAGAAACUGCCUCGGCCCUCAUAGGACAGAAAAUUAGGUAGGUGGAGUAGACAGAGGAGAAUGCUGGGAAAAAGAAGCUGAGUGAGUGAGUCGCCAUGAUGCUCCCACUCCAGACAGACGCAGGUUAAGAUCCUCUCUGGAAAUCACGAGACUGGCCCAUGCCAGAGGAAAUCUGUAGCUCUAAUUUCCUCGGGACGCACCUGAAGGAAAGAGGCAAGCGAGGCUGCCCUGGACGGCUGCUGUCUACUGUGAGCUGGGCGGGCCAGAAGAGAACAGCAGACCUCAUUACAGAUGGUUGUGAGCCCCCAUAUGGUUCCUGGGAACUGAACUCAGGACCUUUGGAAGAGCAGGCAAUGCUCUUAACCUCUGAGCCAUCUCUCCAGCCCCGGUUGACUUAACUAUGUCCUGAGUGUGUUCCUGAGAGCUAACCAUAUUGAAACACAUAUCCCAUUGUGAGGCAAUUAUGUGGGGAGUGGGUGAAGUCUUGUUUUCUUAUUUUUAAAGAUUUAUUUAUUAAUUAUGUAUACAGUAUUGUCAGUAUUUUGUCUGCAUGUAUGUCUGCAAGCCAGAAGAGGGCACCAGAUCUUAUUACAGAUGGUUGUGAGCCACCAUGUGGUUGCUGGGAAUUGAACUCAGGACCUUUGGAAGAGCAAGCAGAGCUCUUAACCACUGAGCCAUCUCUCCAGCCCCUGAAGUCUUGUUUUCGAGACAGAGUUCCUCUGUAGUUUUGAAGCCUGUCCUGGCACUAGCUCUGUAGACCAGGCUGGCCUCAAACUCACAGAGAUCCGCCUGCCUCUGCCUUCUGAGUGCUGGGAUUGAAGGCGUGCGCCACCACCGCCUGUCACAGUGAAUGUAUUAUUGACACAAGCACAGUCAUGUGAAGGAACCCAAUGGCAAAGCCAUUUCAGGUCAGGCUCAGAGAAAUGGCAAUGCCUUACUUUGGCCCAAGUACAGAUGUUACAAAUGAUUGACCGUUAGCUAAAACCAGUGUAUGCAAAAACUAUGGAGCACUCCUUCCUUGCCCAGAUGUUGGCAGUCUGAGACUUACCCCCUAUUGAGAGGAGCUAUAUCAAGAUGCACAAAUAAAUGGGGUGAAAUUCUGGACUGUGUCUCCAUAGAGCGCGUGCCUCACCUGAUCCCAGCUUUUCUGUACACGUGUCUGUGUGUCUGUCCUUUCUUCACUCCUUUGUGGCUCCAGUCAGGUCACCUCUAAAUGGUGGCCUUCUCAGCAUAAGAAGAGGGUGGCAAUUCAGCCCUGCAUGGCGGCCUAGAGACGGAGCCCCUGAGGGGGGGUUAGGGUUAGUGCUGCUAUCAGUUUCUAUCUUUAAGGUCUCAUUGACAAGCUUGGAAGGAUGUGCUACCCAUUAAGACGCAGAGCCAAAUAUUUGUACAUUAAAACAGAUGUUGUUCGGAGUUUCUUUGCCUAUGGGCCAAAGGUGCAAAUUUUUCUGUUUCCCAGCAAAAUUCUACAGUAUUUUCUGAAGGCUUUAAAAAAUAUUUUAGUAUUCCAGAACUCUUACUAAGCUUUUAAAUAGUCCUAAUUGCAUGCCAAUGGGUUAUUUGCUUUUUACAAUUGCACUGUGGGAAACUCGAGUUGAUUGGCAGAGUGUUACAGCUCUUCAAAAGCAAUAAAAAUAUAAAUGAAAAUGGGCAGCCUAGGAGAGUGCAUAUACUAACUUCAUGUGUGCGUAUCUACAUAUCCACGUACACACAUGCACACGUGUGUGUCGAGUAUCAGCUUUGCCACCAAAUGUUCAUGUACCCUGUGUAUGUAUACAGAUUCCUUUUGGCUGGUGGACUGUGGAGGCUACGGAUACAAGCAGGUUCUUGUAUGCACAGACACAUUAAUGAGCUAGAACAGAUAUUGGCAAACCAUGCCUAGAGGGCCAGAUGUGGCCACACUGUUGGCUCAUGCGUUAUCCAUGUGCUUGAAGUUAGUUCCAAGACUGGUCUCACGUCUGACACUGCCUGCACGUUGGGGGUGAUUCCCAAGGAAUGAGGUGUGAUUACUUGCUACAUUUUAUUGAAUUUCCUGACAGCUAUUAUGUUCUGGUUACUAUUUAUAACAGGGACACGCGGCUCUAAAUUAGCCGCAGGCAGAGGCAAAUAGGAUAUUCUGGAAGGUUCUAACGAUGAAGCCGUCAAGAUCUUCUCCCAUGGAGUAUCUGACCGACUGACUCGCUGUGCUGGUCUGUGACCACACCCAUGGGCAUUCCUACCCAGGGAUAUCAUUUGAGUUUUGACAUCUGUAGUUUUACAGUGGAGCGUCAUUCUGUAGGCCCGAUUUAGCAGCUGAUUGACUGCCUGACUCAGUCCCUGAGUCAGCUGAUACCACGUGACGCAGUUCUGCCGCAUCAGCUAAACUGCAGACUUGAUCUUUUGGGCUUGGUCAGCUCACACCUUAAAGAGUCCUGAAAGUCAUAACUUUCGGGAUUGCCAUUCAAAAGUGUUUUGAAUCCAUUGAUCAAAAAAAAAAAUACAAAUUUUAAAGGAUAAUUAAUACCAGGAACAUAGUAAUGUUGAUUCCUACACUUAUCAUGAGGAGAUGAUUCUAGUGUCUGAAAAUACCAUGUGUACAAAUUGUACAAAGUCUCCUGGGAUUGAAACUAUACCCUUUAAUUUUUUUUUUUUUUUGCUUUUUCUUUUUAUUAAGUUUUGCUUAGCAAAAGGGUAACUAACAAGCACACCCUUCUCCAAUUUCUUUUUUGUUUGUUUUUGUUUCUUUUGAGACAGGCUCUUACUCCGUGGCCCUGGUUGGCCUCGAAUUUGCCUCCUGCCUCUGCCUCCUAGUACUCAGAUUACAGAAGUGUGCCACCAUAUCCAACUUUAACAUACCUCUUUCAUACUAUAUGGGAGGGGAGGCACGGUUUAUGGGCUAAGGCAGAAACUUACUUGAACCAGAGCUAGAACAGCGGUUUAUUCUAGAUUUUUCAACGCAAAGCCUGAUAAGAACUCUCUCUCUCUCUCUCUCUCUCUCUCUCUCUCUCUCUCUCUCUCUCUCUCCCUCUCUCUCUCCUUCCCUUCUUCUCUUCCCCCUCCUCCCCCCUCCAAAGCCUCCUAUGUUAUGAAGUUUUGAAAGUUAAAGCUGGGCAUGAUGACUCAGGAGGACUGUUACAAGUUUGAGGCCUAAACUAUAGAGUGAGUCCCAGGCCAUCCUGGGCUACAGAAUGACUACCUGUCUCAAAUCUCUCUCUGUCUCUGUCUCUCUCUGUCUCUCUCCGUCUCUCUCUGUCUCUGUCUCUCUCUCUCUCUCUCUCUCUGUCUCUGUCUCUCUGUCUCUGUCUCUCUGUCUCUCUCUCUCUCACACACAGUAAUUUAGGAUAAACUUAUGUAGGAAAAUGAAAAUCAAAGAAGAAAAAAAAUCAUUUGUCUUAUAUACCUUUUUUGGUUUUUGGGGUUUUGUUUGUUUGUUUUUGUUUUUUGAGACAGGGUUUCUCUGUAGCUUUGGAGCCUGUCCUGGAACCAGCUGUAGACCAGGCUGGCUUUGAGCUCACAGAGAUCUGCCUGCCUCUGCCUCUAUACCUUUUUUUCUAAUUUAAAAAUGUAAAAUUUUAUUUUUAUUAUUUUGGGGUGUGUGUGUGUGUGUGUGUGUGUGCAUGCUUCACACACACACAUCCACUUAAGUGCAGGUGUCCUUGGAGGCCAUCAUAUCUGGAGCUGAAGUUGUAGGUGUUUGUGAGCUGCCUAGUGUGGGGACUGGGAACUGAACUUGGAUCCUCUGGAAGAGCAGUCAGUAUAAUUGCUAUGCCAUCUCUCCAAUUCCUAUUUUAGGCUUUUAAAAUCAACCUUUAUUUCUGUUCUUUAUGCUAUAUAGAUCACCUAUCUUUUCCCCUUCAGUAUUAUACAUUUUCCAUGUUAUUCUAAGUCCUAAAAUAUUAUUAAAAUUAUUGUUGGUUUAAUCAUUUGGUUGUAUGUAGUUUUCUGUAUUUUUCCUCAAAAAAAAUAUUCUGGCUUAUUGGAGUAAUACUCCAGACUGUUAGUCUGAUAUUUCUCAAUUAAUGAAACUGAAAGAAAGCAUGCUACAGGGCCAUUCGUCUAAUUGCUGUCUGUUGAUUUUAUUGUAAAACAUCUGCAGUUCAUUACGUAGGAAUGGAAUUUAAUAUUCAAGUCAAAUAACUUUAUAAUUGCCUCUACCUUGACAAACACAAAGCAAUAUUCAAUCCUGUCUUAUUUGUGUGCGGGUCUAAACUAGUGUCUAUCUGUUUAUCUAGACGGGGUCUCCUUACAUUGCCCAGGCUGACUUUGGGCUGCCAGGCUCCAGAAAAGCUCUUGAAGCCUCUUCUAGGAGCGUCACCACACCAGGCUUCAUUUGCAUGCUUAGUGGAGUGAAGUUUCCAGAAGCCAGCGCGGUUUUUCACGAGAGCAGGUGAAAGCAGCAGGUUUGGCGAGUAACCAGCAGUCACAUGGUAGAGGACAGAGAGCCUCUUGCUUGCUGAUGACCAUAGAGUGUAAAGUGUGGUUUUCUUCUCAGCUCUGCUUCUCGGCUGGUAGCCUGGAUGCCCAUCUUCUCAGGGGUUGAGGCUCAUCUUUGCUGGUUGCCCGAUGAUCCCCCUUCUCUUACCUACCAUGGUCCCCUCAGGCGCAGCCGUACCCCUUCUACUCUUCCAAGAGUGUCAGAGUUAGCUGUUUAAAAGGAAGGAUCUCUCCCAGUGCCCUCGUGACCACAGCUCUUUCUUUAGCUAACUUCCUCUCUGUUGCAGCUUUUCUCUCCCUGGGAAUUUGGCUUGUGGUUUUGAGGGCCUGACCGGAAGCCAGCUAGAAGUGGAUCACAGGUCUCUUAAGAGCUGUCCUCCCUCUUGGACCUCAAUGCAGUGCACAAGGGCCAGCCUGAGCUUUCUGUCCCCUCCCCCUGCUUUUGACGGAACUCUUUCUAUCAGCCAAGUCGUCCAUGAGGCUGUCUGUGCCUCUCACUGUCCCUCCCAUGAUGCUGUUCGGCUCUCCUACGGUAGUGCUCUGAGGAACCUCUAUAUGGGCUACUCUGACAUAUUUAAAGCUGUCUGAGCUCUCAACUUAAGCUGAUGUUCUGAGACUAGAAAUUUAUGAACAGAAUUAUUUUUUGUGUUAACUUCCAUUUUAAAGUCUCACU